CUACGGGUCGCAGCAGUGAGGAAUAUUGCACAAUGGGGGGAACCCUGAUGCAGCAACGCCGCGUGGAGGAUGACGCAUUUCGGUGUGUAAACUCCUUUUAUAUGUCAAGAAAAUGACGGUAGCAUAUGAAUAAGCACCGGCUAACUCCGUGCCAGCAGCCGCGGUAAUACGGGGGGUGCAAGCGUUACUCGGAAUCACUGGGCGUAAAGGACGCGUAGGCGGGUUGGAAAGUCAGGUGUGAAAUCCUACAGCUUAACUGUAGAACUGCACUUGAAACUUCUAAUCUAGAGUAUGGGAGGGGGAGAUGGAAUUAGUGGUGUAGGGGUAAAAUCCGUAGAUAUCACUAGGAAUACCUAAAGCGAAGGCGAUCUCCUGGAACAUUACUGACGCUAAGGCGUGAAAGCGUGGGGAGCGAACAGGAUUAGAUACCCCCGUAGUC
rnacentral:rRNA from 1 species